rnacentral:rRNA from 1 species
UACAGGGGGUGCAAACGUUGCUCGGAAUCAUUGGGCGUAAAGCGCACGUAGGCGGUUCGUUAUGUCGGAUGUGAAAGCCCUUGGCUUAACCGAGGAAGUGCAUCCGAAACUGGCGAGCUAGAGUACUAAAGAGAUCGCGGAAUUCCCGGUGUAGAGGUGAAAUUCGUAGAUAUCGGGAGGAACACCGGUGGCGAAGGCGGCGAUCUGGGUAGAUACUGACGCUGAGGCGCGAAAAGCGUGGGGGGAGCAACAGG